rnacentral:lncRNA from 10 species
GCACGAUCUCGGCUCAUUGCAAGCUCUGCCUCCCGGGUUCAUGCCAUUCUCCUGGCUCAGCCUCCCGAGUAGUUGGGACUACAGGUGCCCGCCACCACGCCCAGCUAAUUUUCUUCUAUUUUUAGUAGAGACGGGGUUUCACUGUGUUAGCUAGGAUGGUCUCGAUCUCCUGACCUCGUGAUUCGCCCGCCUUGGCCUCCCAAAGUGCUGGGAUUACAGGCUUGAGCCACCACGCCCAGCCCCACAAACCAUAUUUUCUAAUCACAUCUAAGAUAAAACUAUGAACUUCUAAAUUAGAUGCACAAAAAAUACAAGAAGAGGGUGUAGUUGGCCCCCUAAUCCCUAAUUUCAGAGUCAACAUCAGUCCACUGUACCAUCUCAACUUUACAGACACUUGGGGAUCCAUAGUGCCCAAGGUACUGACCAGCAGAAGAAACUACAUUUCUGCAGAAACCCAUUCAAGAAGACAUGGCCAGCCCCAGAGUGGCUGUUAAUGAGAACCUUCAAAGAGGACCUACCCUCUUUGGAUGGGGUCCAUG